ACAGUUAGCCGGUCUGUCGCUUAAAUUUAUUUAAGAGGAAAGUCCGGGCAACAUAGAGCAUUCUACUUUUUAACAGAAAGUUAUCCGUGAGGGUAAAGUAACGUAGAAGAAAACAACCGCCUCUUUUUUCGGAAAGCGGUAAGGGUGAGAAGGUGGGGUAAGAGCCCACCGGUCGCAUGGUGACAUGUCGAGCCGUACGUCUUAGGAGUUGUAAGGUCAUGUAUACCGGCAUUAUAAGAGUUGCUCGCUCAACGUCGGAGGGUAGACCGCUAAAGUAAUAUGGCAACAUAUUACUCAGAUAAAUGACAGACACUUCUGAAUUUAUGUAGAAAUAAACAGAAGUACAGAACCCGGCUUACAGGCUGACUGUUUUU
rnacentral:RNase_P_RNA from 1 species